rnacentral:rRNA from 1 species
GAUGAACGCUGGCGGCGUGCCUAACACAUGCAAGUCGAGCGAAAAGACGAGGACCUUGCUCGCCUGACGUCAGCGGGGGACGGGAGAGUAACACGUGGAUAACCUACCUAUAAGACAGGGAUAACAUCGGGAAACCAGAGCUAAUACCGGAUAAUAUAUUGAACCGGGUGGUUCAAGAGUGAAAGACGGUUUUGCGGUCACUUAUAGAUGAAUCCGCGCCGCAUUAGCUAGUUGGUAAGGUAACUGCUUACCAAGGCAACGAUGCGUAGCCGACCUGAGAGGGUGGUCGGCCACCCUGGAACUGAGACACGGCCCAGACUCCUACGGGAGGCAGCAGUCGGGAAUCUUCCGCAAUGGGCGAAAGCCUGAUGGAGCAACGCCGCGUGAAGGAUGAAGGUCUUCGGAUCGUAAAAUUCUGUUGUUAGGGAAGAACAAAUGCGUUAUUAACUAGGCACGUCUUGACGGUACCGAAAGAGAAAGCCACGGCUAACUCCGUG